GAAAAUAUGAGACCCCGACCAUUAAAUUUCAUGUCGAAAUAGUCUUGAAGUUCAUAUAUAUAUAUAUGUGCAUUAUGCAACUAAAGAAAGAAAAUCAACAAAACUUUGGACCUCGCUUUACAUAUUUACAUCACCGUGGUUCGUUCUUUACUGUUCUUCAGCUCUCCACACUUGUCGGAGCAGCUGAUAUCUAACAACUUUCCGAUCACCCCUCCCCUUGGCGAUCAAGUUGAUCUUUGCUAGAUUAGGAGAACCCCGGAAUCUAUCAGCUACGAUUGAACUCA
rnacentral:misc_RNA from 1 species